rnacentral:rRNA from 1 species
GACAGAGGGGGCAAGCGUUGUCCGGAAUUACUGGGCGUAAUGAGCACGUAGGUGGCCUGUUGCGUCGGUGCUGAAAACGCCGGGCUUAACCCGGCGAGGCGUGCCGAUACGAGCAAGCUCGAGGCAGGGAGAGGGUGGCGGAAUUCCGGGUGUAGUGGUGAAAUGCGUAGAGAUCCGGAGGAACGCCAGUGACGAAGGUGGCCACCUGGCCCUCGCCUGACACUGAGGUGCGAUAGCGUGGGGAGCGAACCGG